UACGUAGGGGGCUAGCGUUGUCCGGAUUUAUUGGGCGUAAAGAGCGUGUAGGCGGCCAUGUAGGUCCGGUGUGAAAACUCGAGGCUUAACCUCGAGAUGUCAUCGGAAACCAUUUGGCUAGAGUCCGGAAGAGGAGAGUGGAAUUCCUGGUGUAGCGGUGAAAUGCGCAGAUAUCAGGAAGAACACCAAUGGCGAAAGCAGCUCUCUGGGCCGAUACUGACGCUGAGGAGCGAAAGCGUGGGGAGCAAACAGG
rnacentral:rRNA from 1 species